GGCUACUAUCUGAUGGGAUUUACUCACUUUCUUGAGUUCAGAGAUUGACUCAUCGGUGAUUUUAUGUUGUUCUCUUGCUCUCAGCUGGAUUAAAGGCCGACCUUGUUCAUAUCCAGCCCGCCUUAGUUUUCUUGCUGUAUAUCCCUGCAAAAUGAAAGUUCAUUCACUGUGCUGUUAUAAAAAACAAAUUAAUGCCUUCCAAUGAAAGUGAAUAAUUUUUCAUUUUGGCUCGUUGCUCCAGCUGUCUAUGAGGUUUCAAAGUUCAAUGUAAAAAUAGGACUAUCAUUACCUACAGUUUGUGAGAUUAAGUUGGUUUACCAGAAAUAGCCCAAAGCUUUCAUUCUUCGUUGCUACCACCACGUCCAGAGCGGUUAAAUUUUCAUUGUUGACGGCCUUUUUAUCAACUAGAUGGUGUUCUGUAAGACUUUCAAAGCCAAAAGCAGCAGCUAGAUGGACUGGAGUGUUCCCUUCUUUAUCUUUCUGAUUAAUUAGGUUGGCCAGGGAAGGUUCUUCGGUAAUAAUUUGCACUCCUUUAAAAUUGCCGCUUUCCACAGCAAAAUGGA
rnacentral:misc_RNA from 1 species